rnacentral:lncRNA from 1 species
GCACCGCCAAAAAAGAUACGGAUCAAAAUUUAAAGAUACGGAUCAAAUUUAAGGUUUGAUUUAUUUAGUCUCUAGCGAUGUGAAAAUGCCAAAUGCAUCAUCCAAAGACACCAAUGCGACCACAAUUUCACAAAAUGCAAACCUAAUUACACCCUUCUCUCUUUCUCUCAUCAUUAUAUUGCAUCUGUUUUCUUCUGCAAAUUUGGGGAACUCAACUUUCAUGGAGUUUAUGUACAAGAUUACGACACUUUUCUGAAGUGGAUUCUGCAUAAGCAACAUUAAAGGUAGUUCGUGAUUUUUGUUCCUUUGCAUAUGGUUUUCUUUUUUAUUUGGAAUGGACGGUUUAAUUUGAUUUGGAGGUCAGUUCUGACAUCAAGUGCUUCCAGCUCUCUGAUUACAGUUGCGGGGAUCGAAUUGUGGUACUCACUAGCAAAUAGACCAACUAAUGAUUGAUUUCCUUGCAUAUGUUUUGCUUCAACAAAAUCUACAUUUAUUAGAUACUAAUCAUUCAAUUGCUUUAACUUUAUCUAACUAAAAACGUAAUUUAUGAAUGAUGCCAUGAUAAUAGUAACAAUUACGGGUUAUAGUGUUUAUCCGAUGUGAAUUUGUUCCAAGUAGCUAGAAAGGUGAAGCAUGGUCAUGCAUCUAGAUGCUGAGUCGUGCCGCGGUGGGAUGUCAUCCGCCAUCCCUAAAAACGUAAUUUAUGUGUGUGAGUUUCACCUGUAGGCUCUUAACAACAACAAAAAAAAAACCUAAUUUUAAGCAGAGCAAUGAGAGAGUGACAAAAUCUACGUUUUGUUAUCUAUAGAUAUAUGCAAAGAAAAUGCCUUUCUUUUAUUAGAUUGAGCUCCCUGGCUAGAUCAACAACAAUGAAGUCCACUCAUUAAAAGUGAAACUAAGCAUUUUUUAGCAUUAGGAUUAAGAUUUUCAGCAAAGAUAUGAAGAUUUUGACCAUCUUCAAAUAUAGUAUCAUAUGUUGGUCUUCUUCAUGUAGACACCUCAGAACCUGUUCCAUUCUCUAUAUAUGUUGAGUAUGAACUGUAUGACUCAUGGUAUUGAUAAAUGGACAACCGCUCUGUAGUCAGAGACAUAGGCACAAUUGACUGCGCUACAUUAUCUUACAUAGUGCAUGUGUUUCUCUAUUUACUUUUCCGUAUCCCUUUUUCUUUUGAACCGGGAUUGUUGUUUCUAACAAUAUAUAGCUGCAACUGUCAAUACUGAGUAAUUAGUAAAACUAGUUAAUGCUAACAGGUAUGACAAUUCAAAGAAACGCUAAAUGUAUCAUGACUGGGCUACAUUAUCUUACAUCGUGUUUCUCUAUUUGCUUUUCCAUAUCCCUUUUUUUCUUUUGAACCGGGAUUGUUGUUCUAACAAUAUAUAGCAGAAACUGUCAGUGGCGAGUAAUUAGUAAAACUAGUUAAUGCUAACAGGUUUGUUAUGUACCUUGAGGAGCAUAGCCAAGUAAACUUUUCUGUCAGAUUUCCAAUAUCAUAUUUGCAAAACAUAUCGUUUUCUGAAAGAUCCUUGUUUGCGAGUUAUCUAUUUAGAAUAUGAAGUCCAUUAUGUGCUUUUUUGUUGGUUAAAGAGAACUUGUAUUUCCUUAUGCUGCUUUUCACAUUAAGUUUUUGUGCAUGAAUUAAUUUCGUAUGUGUUAAGGAACUUUGUUGAUGUUUGCUACGACAUUUUGUCCCACAAAUUUGCAGCUCUCUUCAUUUGUUUUGUGUUAAGGAACUUUGUUGUCCAGUUUUCUGACAUUUUCAUUAAAAAACUACUACUAUUGUAUUCAAUUAUUAGUGGAAAACUUAAAGUUGAUUCUCUUUGCUUAGGUGCAUCAAGGUGUGUGCUUUGACAAUAUAAUCUGCAGCUAAAUAUACUUUCUACCCCCACAGAUAGAAAAGGUGAAUGGAAGAGACACCGGACGGGCACAUUUCGUAAGGUAUGUUGAUGUAAAGACUAUACAUGAUUUGGUUUGG